UACGUAGGGUGCGAGCGUUUGUCCGGAAUUAUUGGGCGUAAAGGGCUCGUAGGCGGUUUGUCGCGUCGGGAGUGAAAACCCAGGGCUUAACCCUGGGCUGGCUUCCGAUACGGGCAGACUAGAGGUAUGCAGGGGAGAACGGAAUUCCUGGUGUAGCGGUGAAAUGCGCAGAUAUCUGGAGGAACACCGGUGGCGAAGGCGGCAUCCUGGACCGAGAUUGACGCUGAGGCGCGAAAGCCAGGGGAGCAAAGCGGGG
rnacentral:rRNA from 1 species